CCAUUGGUAAUAUUCAAUCUUCCUUAUUUCAUCUCAGAGUCCAUAUAGACUCCGACUCGCCGACUCAAUGGUGGUUCACCGUUCACUCCCUCAUCGCCUCUCUCUUUUUCCGGCGACCUCUGUUCUCUCCGAAAACUCUCUCCGUCCGCGAAAGAUAGGCGUCCGAUUCAAGCAUUUCCUUCCUUGAGUAUCGUCGGAUCUUGUAUCUCACUCGCAGCGAAUCGUGGAUAGCUCGACCUCCAUGGCCGUCAGAAGCGUCGAUUUCAAGUGAAUUGCACAUUGUCGGUGCAAGGCGAACCAAUGCAAACGAUACCAUUGAUGAUGAUUUACCAAGUACCUCGGAGCGCCAAUUUACAGAUGCAGUAGCCUCUGAUUCAGCACACUCCAAUGAUCCAAAGCAUUUUGGUCAAUCUCCUCUCCCUGCUUAUCAACCAGCUUUUGAUUGGGAAAGUGAAAGAUCAUUGAUAUGCGGUCAAAGGGUUCCAGAAACUCCAAUAUCUCAUGGCCUGAAGAUCUCAGUGAAAGUUCUGUCCCUAUCAUUUCAAGCGGGACUGGUUGAGCCAUUUUAUGCUACAAUUUGCUUAUAUAAUAGGGAGAGAAGAGAAAAGUUGUCAGAGGAUUUCUAUUUUCGUCACGCACCAACAGAAACACAGAAUAUUUCUAACCCCGUGGAAUCUUCUAUUUAGAUGCUCCAUCAUCAUCAGUUUGUCUUCUGAUCCAGUUAGAAGCACGCCACAGAAGAAGGCGGGGUUACGCCGACACCUACAGUUUAUUCUCGUAAAGAACCGGCUCUAUGAUGUACGACUUCUUUAUGGGAAAUGGUUGGCAUGUGGCAUCAUAUCAAGUUAUAAUCAGCCCCUUCAAGUACUCAUUUUUUCUUGAGCUGGUCAACAGUCUCUUUUCUUGCGCGGGUGUGCCAGCACCGUUCGGGUGCGGUCGUUGGGGGUGUCCCUUGACCUGACUUCUUUUGAGCGACUGUAGACGAGGAGAGCACCAACCUCGUCGUGGGGGUCUUCUUUGCCUCGUGGUGAGGACUUUAUCUUGUGUUACCAAGUCGAUACUCAACGUUGUAGGUCGAGCAGAGCGAAAUCACCGGGAAGUAUAGAGAACUUGCCAAAGCGUGACUUUAGCUUAGCUGGUUUGCAAGGGCGUUACCCUUGCUUGGCUGGUUCCGUAA